rnacentral:lncRNA from 1 species
CACAAACAUCAAUCAUUGAGCAGUCAUUAUCCACAUUCAUUCAUCUCAAUUCAUCACCAAUCACGUAUUUCACAUAGGACUCAUGAUAUGAUAUGCACUUAUUGACCCAUAAAUGCAUGUGGUACCAAAUCUCAACAAGGUCGUCACCUUUCGAUGCCACUUGCACAUCGAAUGUAAGGGCUCAUACCUGCCUUACAAUAAUCUCGAAGUAAAAGAGUCAUCCCUUUUACAGCAACACGACUAUG